rnacentral:miRNA from 1 species
UUUAUGUAUAUGUAUGUGUGCGUGUGCAUGUUAGCAUGUGAAUGUGUAUGCAGAUUAUCUCAGAGGCCAGAAGAAGGCAUCAGAUCCCC